AACGCUGGCGGCGUGCUUAACACAUGCAAGUCGAACGAUGAAGCCUGGCUUGCUGGGUGGAUUAGUGGCGAACGGGUGAGUAACACGUGAGUAACCUGCCCUUGACUCUGGGAUAAGCGCUGGAAACGGCGUCUAAUACCGGAUACGACCUGCCCCGGCAUCGGGUGUGGGUGGAAAGUUUUUCGGUCAAGGAUGGACUCGCGGCCUAUCAGCUUGUUGGUGAGGUAAUGGCUUACCAAGGCGACGACGGGUAGCCGGCCUGAGAGGGUGACCGGCCACACUGGGACUGAGACACGGCCCAGACUCCUACGGGAGGCAGCAGUGGGGAAUAUUGCACAAUGGGCGAAAGCCUGAUGCAGCAACGCCGCGUGGGGGAUGACGGCCUUCGGGUUGUAAACCUCUUUUAGUAGGGAAGAAGGGCUUCGGCUUGACGGUACCUGCAGAAAAAGCACCGGCUAACUACGUGCCAGCAGCCGCGGUAAUACGUAGGGUGCAAGCGUUGUCCGGAAUUAUUGGGCGUAAAGAGCUCGUAGGCGGUUUGUCGCGUCUGCUGUGAAAACCCGAGGCUCAACCUCGGGCCUGCAGUGGGUACGGGCAGACUAGAGUGCGGUAGGGGAGAAUGGAAUUCCUGGUGUAGCGGUGGAAUGCGCAGAUAUCAGGAGGAACACCGAUGGCGAAGGCAGUUCUCUGGGCCGUUACUGACGCUGAGGAGCGAAAGCGUGGGGAGCGAACAGGAUUAGAUACCCUGGUAGUCCACGCCGUAAACGUUGGGAACUAGAUGUGGGGGCCUUUCCACGGUCUCCGUGUCGCAGCUAACGCAUUAAGUUCCCCGCCUGGGGAGUACGGCCGCAAGGCUAAAACUCAAAGGAAUUGACGGGGGCCCGCACAAGCGGCGGAGCAUGCGGAUUAAUUCGAUGCAACGCGAAGAACCUUACCAAGGCUUGACAUAUACCGGAAACUUCCAGAGAUGGUUGCCCCGCAAGGUCGGUAUACAGGUGGUGCAUGGUUGUCGUCAGCUCGUGUCGUGAGAUGUUGGGUUAAGUCCCGCAACGAGCGCAACCCUCGUUCUAUGUUGCCAGCACGUGAUGGUGGGAACUCAUAGGAGACUGCCGGGGUCAACUCGGAGGAAGGUGGGGAUGACGUCAAAUCAUCAUGCCCCUUAUGUCUUGGGCUUCACGCAUGCUACAAUGGCCGGUACAAAGGGCUGCGAUACCGUAAGGUGGAGCGAAUCCCAAAAAGCCGGUCUCAGUUCGGAUUGAGGUCUGCAACUCGACCUCAUGAAGUCGGAGUCGCUAGUAAUCGCAGAUCAGCAACGCUGCGGUGAAUACGUUCCCGGGCCUUGUACACACCGCCCGUCAAGUCAUGAAAGUCGGUAACACCCGAAGCCAGUGGCCUAACCGUAAGGAGGGAGCUGUCGAAGGUGGGAUCGGUGAUUAGGACUAAGUCGUAACAAGGUAGCCGUACCGGAAGGUGCGGCUGGAUCACCUCCUUUCUAAGGAGCUUCUGGGUACCGUAGGGUGCUCCAGUGUGCCAGUUCAAAGCGAAUGUCUUUGCUGGUUGCUCAUGGGUGGAACAUUGAACUAGGUGUGGAGUGAGAUUCGUCUCGUGUUAGUACGGCCUUCGGGUUGGGAACGCAUGGUCGGGUGGAGUUCUGCGCAUGCACGCUGUUGGGUCCUGAGGGAUCGGGCUGGUUGYCUUYGGGUGGCUGGGUCGGCUCUUUGGAUCUUUUUCUCAYGCCUGGGUGUGUGGGGGAAGGGUACCGCCCGUAUUUUGAGAACUACACAGUGGACGCGAGCAUCUUUGAUACAGGACUUAAAAUCCUGCAUCAAAAAGAUUUGCGGGAAUGCUUUCGGGUGUUUCUGUAGAUCAUUGGAUCUGCAACUUUUCGAGUUGUGGUUCCUUUAACUCAUGUGAUUUCAAGUUUUUAAGAGCAAACGGUGGAUGCCUUUGGCACA
rnacentral:rRNA from 1 species